rnacentral:rRNA from 1 species
UUGGGAUCCGAUGGUGGGGGACGAUGAAGAACGGAGCGAAAUGCGAUACUUGGUGUGAAUUGCAGAAUCCCGUGAACCAUCGAGUCUUUGAACGCAAGUUGCGCCCGAUGCCAUUAGGUGAGGGC